GCGUAUUUCCUACGAAUGUACGCUGAAUGCAUGUGGCUCCAUUUUUGGUGAAAAAGUAUUUAAUUAUGUAGAAUAUAAAACCAUUUCAAGAAAGGUAGAGUAUUCUAAAGUGCUGAAGUCAUUUAAGUUAGGAAUGGAUAUACCUACAGUAGAAGCAGAUAAUCAUGCAGGAGUUUAAAAGGACUUGCAAUUGGACAGCCGGACGCUGCAGAUACAGUGCUUAAAUCGGAAUUACAGGAGAGCGUUCUAGAGGGUGAAUAUAUUUCAGAAACGGAGCGUUUUCCAAGCCGAAACGAAAGAAGAGGAUACGUAUACUGGGCUGAUAGUGCUAUUAGGUCGACCAGCAAUGGGUUUUAGGAAACCCACUCACUAUUGCGACAUCCGACUGACAAAGCUUCAUUUGGGUCAAUCAUUGAGCUGGCUAUGCUCCUAUACGCAUCGUGUCGAACGGAUAGCUGAUGAGCAACGUCCUGGUAGGACAUGAGACUAAGUUAUUUCACUCGUGUUCUAACCGUUACACGUUAGCGAAUCAUAUUUACAUAGAAAGAUUUAAAAAGAAGGAACGUUACACCACAGGGGGCGGGCCGGUGGUGCAUGUGAUAAACGGCGCCGGUCCACACGGCAGGACCGGCUUCAAAUCCCAUCCGGACCGUCCCCCCGUAGCAAGGACAUCUUUGAAAGCGAUGAGACAUGGAAGGAAGUGAUACAGGGAAGAACGCUAUAUUCGAAAGAUGAAUAAAAUACAAAAUAAAAUCAAAUUUAAAUCAUCGAACAUGAACAAUAUAAAACGACUUUGGCGUUUCACCGUGUAGACAUCGAUAAAGGAUCAAAAGUGGUUAUAAGGAUUUGAAUCUUUUACGCACUCUUUUGAGGGUCAUAAAAAUAUGACUUUAAACUCACUCUUUAGCGAUUUUACUCACUAAAUAAGAAAUUGUUACUCAUUAGUCGGCACAGAGAGUGAACGAGUAAAAACGCAAAAGAGUCAGUCAUUACUCAGCACAGAGAAUGAAUGAGUAAAAACGUAAAGAAGUGAGUAAAAGAGUAAUAAAAACUGCUUAUGCUGAGUUGAAACCAUAAACUACUUUGAUAGGUUUAAAUCACUCACUCACUCUUACUCAAUAUUCACAACUCUAUUCUGAAUAGCAGCAAUCCCGUUACAAACAUGGACAAUGUCCUAAACCUUCGGUGAGUCUUUACUCCAAUGUUUUCUAAUUAAUAACAUAUGUUCUCUUCCUCUCUCAUUCGCACAUCUAAAAAUAGAUCGGAUAUCUACAACACUCGCGCUUGUUGUAAGGAAUUAGAAGCAAGCAAAGGUUCCGGAUUUUUUUGCGCCUAUGUUAAGGGCGGCUGACAAGUUGGUGUAAAUGUGUUCUUCGGAAGAUCUGAGAAUCGGAACACGAACACAACAUGAGCUCAAUCAUGCUCAAUCAGCAAAGGGUGUCGACUUCGCCAACACUCUGGAAAAACUCUACGAACAGUUCGAAGACCGUGAAUCCACCGGUGCGGUAUAAGUGUUUGCAACUGAAGAAGGAGCCACACGAAGAGUCCGAAGUGUACGCUUGCCGUGUUAAUAAACAAGUAGCAGGGCUCAUUAAACAACGCAGCAUUCAAAGAAUUACGACUUGAUUUAUUCGCUGUCAUUGCUAUCACUAACGUAAUACGUGGAAAUUAUUUUGAGCACCAAAACGCUGAUAAAUAGUCAAAACGUGUCAAUCAUACAGUUGGUUUUCUCGACGAGCUGCUAUUUUGAAUUUUGUUGAACACCAGCACAGUUCAAAUGCUCUAACGUCUGAAGCCUCAAACGUCUGAAAUGUGGUUGGCGAUAUCAUGCUGGCAAAAUCAAAUUGAAUUGAAUUCGUCGGCAACAAAUGUUGCCGGAGCUGUCAAUAUUCAUACAUUUUGCCAAUCCUU